AUCUGGCCCCCCGGGUCCGAGUUGUAAUUUGCAGAGGAUGCUUUUGGCGCGGUGCCUUCCGAGUUCCCUGGAACGGGACGCCAUAGAGGGUAGAGAGCCCCGUACGGUUGGACACCAAGCCUAUGUAAAGCUCCUUCGACGAGUCGAGUAGUUUGGGAAUGCUGCUCAAAAUGGGAGGUAUAUUUCUUCUAAAGCUAAAUACCGGCCAGAGACCGAUAGCGCACAAGUAGAGUGAUCGAAAGAUGAAAAGCACUUUGAAAAGAGGGUUAAACAGCACGUGAAAUUGUUAAAAGGGAAGCGCUUGUGACCAGACUUGCGUCCGGUGAAUCACCCAGCUCUCGCGGCUGGGGCACUUUGCCGGCUCAGGCCAGCAUCAGCUCGCCGUCGGGGACAAAAGCUUCGGGAACGUAGCUCUCUUCGGGGAGUGUUAUAGCCCGUUUGCACAAUACCCUUCGGCGGGCUGAG
rnacentral:rRNA from 1 species